rnacentral:tRNA from 1 species
UGGAGGUUUAGCUCAGUUGGGAGAGCAUCUGCCUUACAAGCAGAGGGUCAUAGGUUCGAGCCCUAUAACCUCCAU